rnacentral:tRNA from 1 species
AUUUAAAUAGCUUAAAAUAGAGUAUAAUAUUGAAGAUAUUAGGGUGAUUGUCAAAUCUUUAAAUA